AUGGGACAUUUUAAACCCUCAAGAAGUUCAAUACAGAAGCUGUAUGUAAGUGUUCAAUCAAAACAACUCAAACUUACCUUUCCCCAAAGAAAUCAGACAUUACUUCUGCACUUUCUUCUAUAAACAAGAUCACA
rnacentral:lncRNA from 12 species